ACCGCUGAGUAUUCGUGUUUUUUUACGUUUAUCGGAGAAUAUAAUAAAAUAUUUUUGAACCAAAUGCCUGUUUAGAUUCUAUAGCUUCUACCAUUACGCAUUUAUACGGCGUGUGCAUAUUACUUGUAUAUUUCAUAAACAUUCAAGUAUUCAACAUUCUUAAGAAACUAAUUUGAGUGAGAUACUGAUACAUAAUCGGUGUAAAACGAUACUUCAAGGUAUAUCGAAUAGUAUACGGCUUACUGUUAACACUUAACAUAGAUAUAUAAAUAUAAAAUAUACAAAAUGGAGGCAAAUUACGAAUCUAGGUUAAAAUUUUCAAACCAAUAUAUCUAAGGACGAAAUAUCCAACGGUCAAAAUAUUCACUGACAAAAUAUGCUAAAUUAUCCGUUUUUUUUCGAAAGUAAUAGUGUUUUUUCAUGCGGGCGGUCGUACGAGUUCGGUCUAGCCAAAUAGGUCUGUUUGGUCUAUUCUUCGCUGUUAAAAGUGACUAACGAGCAAGAUGACCUAUUAUAAUUGUCACUAAUUAUCAUAAAGAAGUUAACACCGAGCACUUUUCUCAAAAUUCCAUGUACUAAAUAGUAUGGAGGCAGUGAACGAUAGAAGUGCAUUGAUAGUUCAUAUCAAUUAUUAUAGGCUAUAAAUUCAACUAUAAGUACAACUACAAUAUCACAGGAAGAUCGUCCACAACACACAUCGAGUUCAUUGCAGUAUAAAGUAGAUAUUAUUAAAGAUGGUCACUACUUACUUUCAAUAAUUAUUGAAACCAUUCUCAACGCACUUCAUCGAAUAUAACACAUCAAAAAAUAAAUAGUUCCUCCUUGAUAAUGCUAUUAAAGCAAUGCAAUUUACAAGUUUUCAGAAAUCUGUAAACGAAUUUCAAAUAAUUGGCCAACAUUUUGCAGUUUAACUUCGUAAACUCUCUAUACAAUUAUCACUUGAGCUACAAACAAGCAUUCAAAAUAUAAUAACAAGCGCAUGUCUUCAGGCUAUGAAUAGCAAUUUUGACAAAGCUGUGAAGAAAGUAUGUAACAUUGCAAAGUAUAGAGCUCAUCGUUCAUCACCAACAUAAGAAAAAAAAUCUUAAAAACAGCGAAAAAUGUCAUAUUCUAUUUUAGAAAAUACUGCCUGGACCCUUUAGUAACUGUUAAUAUAACAUAUGUUAUUUAAACAAAAAACCACAAUAUAUAAAACUUUGUACCUACUUACAUUGUUAAAGAAAAUUGUCACUGGUAUUCCAGGAUCUUUGAGGCAAAGAACUGUUUGGGUCCGUUUAUAAAAUUGUCUAUACUGGCUCCUUUUCUGCAAUUAACAAAAAAAUA